rnacentral:sRNA from 1 species
CUGGACACGCUUCCCUUACCCUGAGCUGAAGUAUGAAGGCAAUACAGGCUAUCUUAUCGAGUAUCUCCUGUUGAUGGGAAAUAGCUAGCAAGCAGGAGCCGAGGCGAAGCAAAAUUCUGUAGGAAAUUGUUCGGAAUCCACUCACAUAGGUUCCUGCAGUGACAUAUCAGGGUCUGAUUCAUUCGUUCAUUAUUUUUAUCUUUUAUCUUUUUUUUCUUUAAGAGAACGACUCCUUUAUCUGACCCAAUAGCUGAUGACACUGACUGCUCUCAAAUGGACUGUAUCCCUCAAAUAUUACAGCAACGAAAAAGAAAAGGGAAAUAAAAAAACAAAGGAGAGGAGAGGAUAGUAAACAAGC